UACGAGGGGGGCUAGCGUUGCUCGGAAUCACUGGGCGUAAAGGGUGCGUAGGCGGGUCUUUUAAGUCAGGGGUGAAAUCCUGGAGCUCAACUCCAGAACUGCCUUUGAUACUGAAGAUCUUGAGUUCGGGAGAGGUGAGUGGAACUGCGAGUGUAGAGGUGAAAUUCGUAGAUAUUCGCAAGAACACCAGUGGCGAAGGCGGCUCACUGGCCCGAUACUGACGCUGAGGCACGAAAGCGUGGGGAGCAAACAGG
rnacentral:rRNA from 1 species